CCUACGGGGGGCUGCAGUGGGGGAUAUUGCACAAUGGGGGGAACCCUGAUGCAGCGACGCCGCGUGGGUGAAGAAGCGCCUCGGCGCGUAAAGCCCUGUCAGCAGGGAAGAAAAUGACGGUACCUGAAGAAGAAGCCCCGGCUAACUACGUGCCAGCAGCCGCGGUAAUACGUAGGGGGCAAGCGUUAUCCGGAUUUACUGGGUGUAAAGGGGGCGCAGGCGGGGGUGCAAGGCAGGUGUGAAAGCCCGGGGCCCAACCCCGGGAUUGCCAUUGGAACUGGGUGGUUGGAGUGCAGGAGGGGCAGGCGGAAUGCCUGGUGUAGCGGUGAAAUGCGUAGAUAUCAGGAGGAACACCGGUGGCGAAGGCGGCCUGCUGGACUGCAACUGACGUUGAGGCCCGAAAGCGUGGGGAGCAAACAGGAUUAGAUACCCUUGUAGUC
rnacentral:rRNA from 1 species